GUCGACAACCAGUCUCCUAUCUUGCUUAAGUUUUGACACGAGGAAAUGUGAAGCUUUUGAAGAGAUAAACAUCUUCCCCUUCCUGGAACAAUUUCCAGUUUGCUGCACUCUGAUAUAUCUAGAUUUCGAAGAAAGGAAAAUCCUUCCAAAUCUGGAAUGGAACUUAAAUUAGCACAGCCACAUAGCUUUAAUUCUAUAGGACAACUGGAGGUCAACAACCCGUCUCCUAUCUUGCUUAAGUUUUGACACGAGGAAAUGUGAAGCUUUUCAAGAGAUGAACAUCUUCCCCUUAUUGGAACAAUUUCCAGUUUGCUGCACUUUGAUAUAUCUAGAUUUCGAAGAAAGGAAAAUCCUUCCAAAUCUGGAAUGGAACUUAAAUUAGCACAGCCACGUAGCUUUAAUUCUUUAAGACAACUGGAGGUCGACAACCCGUCUCCUAUCUUGCUUAAGUUUUGACACGAGGAAAUGUGAAGCUUUUCAAGAGAUGAACAUCUUCCUCUAAUUGGAACAAUUUCCAGUUUGCUGCACUCUGAAAUAUCUAGAUUUCGAAGAAAGGAAAAUCCUUCCAAAUCUGGAAUGGAACUUAAAUUAGGACAAUCACUUAACUUCAAUUCUUCAAGAUUAGUGGAGGUCGACAACCCGUCUCCUAUCUUGCUUAAGUUUUGACACGAGGAAAUGUGAAGCUUUUCAAGAGAUGAACAUCUUCCUCUAAUUGGAACAAUUUCCAGUUUGCUGCACUCUGAAAUAUCUAGAUUUCGAAGAAAGGAAAAUCCUUCCAAAUCUGGAAUGGAACUUAAAUUAGGACAAUCACUUAACUUCAAUUCUUCAAGAUUAGUGGAGGUCGACAACCCAUCUCCAAUCUUGCUUAGUUUUCGACACGAGGAAAUGUGAAGCUUUUGAAGAGAUGAACAUCUUCCUCUUAUUGGAACAAUUUCCAGUUUGCUGCACUCUGAUAUAUCUAGAUUUCGAAGAAAGGAAAAUCCUUCCAAAUCUGGAAUGGAGCUUAAAUUAGCACAGCCACUUAGCUUUAAUUCUUUAAGACAAGUGGAGGUAGACAACCCGCCUCCUAUCUCGCUUAAAUCCUUACACUCUGAAAUGCAAAAUUCUUCAAGAGAUGAACAUAUUCCUGCUAUUGGAACAAUUCCCAAGCGUCCGCAAUCGGAAACAUAGACACUUCGAAGAGCGGAAAACCCAUUCAAAUUUGGAAUUGAGAACAAAUCUCCACACUUUACUAUAGUUAGCUCCUCAAGUACCGUGGAAGUAGCUAGUCCAUCCCCUAUACGGCUUAAUUUUGAACAAUCCUCAACCCAGAGCUUUUUAAGAGAUAAACAUCCUCCCGUCAGGGGAACACUUUCUAAUAAGGGGCAAUCAGAAACAAGCAACUCUUCUAAGCAAGGGAACAUGGUUGCUGCUGUCAUUGCUGUCCAUUCUUCCAAAUUUUUCAUUUGCCGUAGGAUGAAUGUUUUUAAUGCAGGAAACACCUCAAUCUCACAUUGACUACUUCCAUCGCAAUAAAACUCAUUACCGAUGCGUUUCACCUUCCCCAUAUUCCUCAGUGCAAGAAACUUGAGACUCUGCAGUUGGCCCAAUGGUGGAAGACUUUUACAAUUGAUGCAACUGUUUAAUUCCAACUCCAUCAAAUUGUCAAGAAGCAGUGAACCAAUAUUAGAACCAUGAACAGGUCUUGACAUCCAAGAUGGGAGCUUUUCCCCUCCAUAAUUCCAAACAAUUAAGCUUUGCAAACCUGAGUGGGGUUGGAGACCUUCCAGCACUUCCUCACAGGUGUCAUUGCUAAAUUCUGACCAUUCGAAUAUUACCUUGCACAAUUUUGUUUUAAGCCGUAGAUUUGCUUUGCGAGCCUCUUCCUUGUCCCUAACACUCUGCAGAUUGCAUAUCCUCAAUUCUCCACCAAGUUCGUUGAGGCAUUCUAGAGCAUCAAGAUGAAAUUCGAUAUCCCUAACAAAAAACAUUGGCAAUGUUUGGAGAGAAAUUAGGUGUCGAAGCUCAAUUGGUUGAGACCUUUGCUGGUCAUAAUGGAUGUGCUUCAAGCUUAUCAAAUUUCUCAAUCCAUCUGGAAAUGCGAUUUCCCUACAACCCAUGAACCUUAAUGUUUGUAACAUGUAAAGUUUGGUUAUGGAUCGAGGCAGCACUUUGAUAGAAGUCUUCGAGAUGUCCAUAUACCUCAAGUGCUUCAAGUCGCCGAGGGAAGCAGGCAACUCAAGAAUAUAAUCAGCACCGGAAAAUUUUAGGACUCGUAAGCUUGUGAAGGUUCUUGACAAUUUCUUGAACACAUCAAUCUCUGAGAACAAAGAGUGCAAUUUUGGAGCAACAGCUGUUAAAAUUAUUGGUAAGGAUUCCCCAUCAUAACCAAUACUGAGAUGCUGAAUAUGAGAAACUUCAUCUGUGCUGGAACUGGAAUUUUCUUGGAAAAUCAAAGUCUCAAACUUUGAGACAGACAAAGCCAGAUCAUGCACCAUGUCAUGCAUCUUGCAAGUCAAAAUAUUUCCGCACCUGUCCUUCCCCACAUCUUGGAAUAAGGAAUUUGAUAACAAUUCAUGGAAAUAUCUGUUACCAGUAUCCAUCAUUUCUUUAGAAGCGCCAAGAAAUCCUUCAGCCAUCCAGAGUUGGAUUAAUUGCUCCUUUCUAAAGCAAAAAUCUUUAGGAAACAUGGCGCAGUAUGCAAAACACUUCUUUAAACAUGGAGAAGACAAGUGAUCGAAACUUAACCUUAGCACACUAUUAACCGAAUCCCAUACAUCACUUUUUUGAAUUUUCAACCAUGCACCCCGACUCUUUUCAAUUUUGCGCAUUGUACCUCCAAUAACUUUUGCUGCUAAAGGCACACCGUGACAUUGUUUAGCAAUGUCCUCGCCAAUUAACACUAAGCUGGGAGAUAUUGGGGAGUCUCCACGUGCUUUUUCUUGAAUUAUGGACCAGCACUCCUCAUCUUUUAAUUUUCCAGGCUGAUGCCUUUGAUUAGGAAGUGUUUCCACUUUUAAUGCCACAUCUUCAAUGCGGGUUGUUACAAUAACUUUAUUCCCCCGAUUCUUAUUAACCCCUUCCAAACACCACAUUAGUUCAUCCCAUUGUUCAACAUUCCACACAUCAUCAAGUACAAGAAGAUAUUUGAUCUGUUCAUUUCCCCUUUUGGCCUGCUCAAUCUUCCCCUUCAGUUUCGCCGUUAAAGCAUUCAAGUUUUGAGGUAUCGAAGUCCCCUUAAAAUGCUCCAGCAUUUCUCUUAAAAUUCUUUUGACAUUGAAGUCAGCCGAAACACACACCCAAAAUCUUACAUCAAAACGCCUUUCCACAUCCACAUCAUUGUAGACUAGCCUUGCUAAAGUAGUUUUCCCGAUACCCCCAUUGCAACUAUAGGCACAACAGAGACAGUUCGAUCAUCUUGGGGACUGACUAACAUGUCAACAACUUUUGAGACAUCAUUUUUCCUUCCAACAAUGUUUGAGUCAUCCAGGAAGGAGACUGUCUCCACAUUUGAUGGAAUAAAAAUUCUUUGAUCUAUGGCUAAUUGUUGGAGACCGUAGUCUUUGGCUUUUUUGUUAAGGUGGUCCAAGGAAUUAAGGAUGUCCUUAACUCUAUUAGCCAUGUUGUGCCGAAAUAUGACAGUAGAUGGAAGGUCUCGUAGCUUUCUCCACAUCUGAACCCCAACCUCCACUUUCCUUCUGAGAAACUCAUAAGUAAUCUCAUCCAGGACCUCACCAGCCUCAUAAGCAACAUCUCUGAGCCCCUCCAACCAAAGCUUCACUGAAUUCAUUUGCUUUUGCUUUCCCUCUGCAUCUUGCAAGAAAGCUCCAACCAUUUCUAGUGAGUUUUCAAGCCUCUGAAUCUCAUCCUUGAAGCCCCAUCCAAGGCUUAUCAUCUCAACCGCAACUGACGCCGCUUUUGACACCGCUUCUCCCACAACAGCACUAACGAAAGCUUCAGCCAUCUUUGCUUCAAAAAUAAAAAGCUUGAAAUGUUAGGGAAAGCUCUUGACUCUAUAUGAAAGAAGCGAAGAACAUUUGUAAAAAGCAACAGAAAAUGGAAAUGGGUGGAAGAUCAUACCGAGUCAAGGAAACUAAAUGCAGGAGAGAUUUGAUGAUGAAUUGCUUUUGGUAAAUGCAAAUUGUAAAGUCAAUGAGCGUUAAACUACCACCUGCCUGCGCUGACGAGAAUUUCAAGAGACCAAUAAACUAAUAUUAAUAAGUAAUUUUGGAUGGGGUAAAUUACACUAAGGGUCAUUAUACUAUUAUUAAGUUUUCGUUUUAUGCAUUUAAUUUUAAAAAGUUAUAAAAAGACCAUUAGACUAUUUAAAAGUUUUUAUUUAAGUCAUCAAAUUAUGUUGUUUUUAUUAAAAGCUUAGCUAGCAAAUUUCCAAGUGGUGGUCAGAUGAUCGGCAUGAUAAAUCAAUACCUAUCGACAUGUAGAAGAAGAAAACUAUUUGGAUUUUAAUUUGCAGAUUUAUGACACUCAAAAUUAUUUCAAAAAAAUGAAUUAUAGAAAAGGAGAAUGAGAAUUAUUUUUUAUUGGUGUAGCCGGGGCGAACAGAGAACUCUACACAAUAGUAAUAUAACAACUUAAUGACUUAAAUAAUAUUUUAGUGAUCAUUUUGUAACUUUUUAAAAUUGAGUGACUAAAAUGUUAUUUACUAAUAAUUUAGUGAACUUUGUGUAGUUUACCCUAAAAUAGUAUACAAUUAAUUCUAAUAUUAUUUAAUAAAUUUUAUUAUAAUAAAAUAAUGAUAUAAAUGUUUGUAGUUAAAUUGUGCUACUAGUCUUUAUACUUUGUGAAAGUUGUGAAACUUAGUUCAUGUACUUUAAUUUAAUCAAUUUUAGUCUCUUUACUUUUCAAAUUGAUUGGUUUAGUUCCUAUGCUUUUUGCACAAAAAAUAGUAGUUAAAUUCGAUUGGUUAAAUUUAAUUACUAAUUUUAUACUAUGCAUACAGUCAUAAAUUUAGUUCGAUCUCUCCAUUUGAACCAUUUUAAGUCCUAAUACUUUUCAAAAUUUGAAAUUUCAAUACUAAUGAAAAUUACAAUUAUUAAUUUAUUAAUUAAAUUUUUAGUGAGUAAUAUCUAGAAAUAACGAACAACAUAACAUUACAUAUAUAGUAAUAAUUUUGACGAAUCAUAUUUUAAAAAUAGCAAAACUUAAUAUAUUUCAUAGUUAUCAUUUUGGUGAGCACUUAAAUUUUAAAAUUCAAAAAGUAUAUAGACUAAAAGCGGCGAAAUUAAAGUUUAUGGAUUAAAUUUAUAACUUUCAUAAAGUAUAGGGACUAAUAAUGGAAUUUAACUAGUAAUAAUAUAUAUAAAUCAUUUUCGUAUAAGAUUUCAGCUGAAGAAGAGAAGUAAUCUGGUUGUUGGCGUUUUUAAGAAAGCUGGUGUAUUUAAGAAGGUUUGGUGGAAUAGUACUGUUUAAGCCGGUGUAUUUAAGAAGGUUUGGUGGAAUAGUACUGUUUAAGCUGGUGUAUUUAAGAAUGUUAGGUGGAAUAGUACUGUUUUCUGAUGGAUUUGAUGGAUGAUAAUUAUGAAUCAUGUGUUAUUUCCACACGGUUUGUUGUUUUCAAGAGGGGGGUUAUCCGUUGGAAUACAGCUGGGACGCAGAAGUCUCUAAGGCCUACCCGUCGAUUCUUUUGCUGGAUCUUUGUUUUGGGCUGACCUUUUGUUUUGCUUUUGUUUUAUCUGCUUCGGUUUUGAUUUUGGACCAUUCUAUGUUUUGACGUUGGUUUGUUUAUUUUGGUUCUGUUGAGUUUUAUUUUGGGCCUGAUUUGAAUAAAAAUCCAGAGUUUUCUUUAAAAAAAAAUCAAUCCAAAUAAAUAAAUAUUAUACCAAUCGACAAAAAAAUAUUUGUCUUCCUCCCAUCCCCUCUUCUCUUUUCUCUUCUUUCUAUUUUCAAAAUCCUAAAUUUGAUUUGAAGAUUGAAUUUCUACUUUUUAUUUAUAAGAUUUUUAGUUGUCUUAGGCUCUACCUCCGCCUCUGCAUUGCUCUGCUAUAUUUUGAUUUGAGAUCCCGAUCGAAAAUCUUUUGUGAUCUUCAAAGAUGGGAGAAAGAAAAGUACUGAACAAAUGUUACCCGCCGGACUUCGAUCCGUCCAAGCUUCCGAGGGUCCGGCGACCGAAGAAUCAACAGAUGAAGGUUCGUAUGAUGCUUCCGCUGAACAUACGUUGUAAUACCUGCGGAAACUAUAUUUAUAAAGGCACCAAGUUCAAUUCACGCAGAGAAAUGUUAUCGGCGAGGUUUGUUUUGUGCUUUCUUUUUACACUUUAGCUUCGGUUUAUUUGUUUAGUAAUAUUAGGGUUUUUUUUUUCAUUCUAACUUUAAAUUUAAGAAAAAAAAUAGGUAGAAGCAGCAAUAAUUCGAAGUUAUUUUAUGCUCUUGUGAGGUUAUGUUUGGUUAUUAGAAUGUAAUAGUAAUUAAAAUCAUGUUAAUUGGUUGAAAGAUGAGCAAACAAUUAUAAUGCAAUACUAAUUGUAAACUCAUUGUUAUAUAUGAAAUUAAAAUCUUGCAUUUUAUUGUAAAAAGGAACUUUCACAUGCCUUGUACUAUACUCACACUUAGUCCAAAUAACGUGGUUAAAUGCUGUAGUUAGUACACAACUUUCAGGUUUUCACUUCUCUCUAAUUAAUGAUUGAGGUGCAUUUAGUUACUUUUCUCUUAUUUGCAGACAUAUUUGGGAAUCCAAAUAUUUAGGUUUUAUUUCAAAUGCACCAAGUGCUCUGCGGAGAUGACGAUAAAGACUGAUCCACAAAAUUCAGAUUAUGUUGUUGAAUCGGGUGCAACAAGAAAUUUUGAACCUUGGCGUGCUGAAGAUGCGGUGAGAGCUUUGUGUAUCAAGCUAAAUGUAGCUAUAGUUCUUUUAACAUUGCUGGAUAUGUAUAAUAAUAUUCUUUCAUCUUUCCUUUUGUUAGGAAGCGGAGAAAGAGAGAUGGAAAAGGGAAUCUGAAGAAAUGGGGGAUGCGAUGAAAUCUUUGGAGAACAGAACGUUGGAUUCAAAAAGAGAGAUGGAUAUCCUUGCUGCGCUUGAUGAAAUGAAGUCUAUGAAGGUAGCUAAACACUUAAACCAACUUUUGUUUAAUAUGCAGGAGAUAACUGCAACAUUACUGUUAUAAAAAGAAAAUAAAGCUUUAACCUUGUUUUUGAUUAUUGUGGAUGUCAAUGAACCAGGUUUUUGAGUCUUUUAUUUUUAGAAUCUGAAUCUAGGAAGAGCACAUGUUGAGUUUCGAUUGAUAUGACCAAAAUAAUGUCUGUUAACGGGUCUACUGUUAGACAUUUGUCUAUCAAGAUGGGAAUAGGUACAAUUUUCUUUUCUCUGAUGCUAAUGGUAGUCUAUCUUACUAUCUUAUAUUGCAGUCCAGACAUGCUACGGUGAGCGUAGAUUCAAUGCUGGAGGCCUUGCAACGCACUGCCGCAGAAAAGGUAAGAUACUUCUACUUAUUUCUUAAUAGCUUAAGCUGCUUCUUUGAAUAGAAAUCUCACGAUUGUGUUUCGUUUGUAUUCUAUUUGAAAAUUUCCAGUUUCUUCUAAAUCAAAGGUGCAUCUUUGGUUGCAAUUGCGAAUCCUGAAUGGAAUUUAUGGUUUCGCUGAGAACACUUUUAUGCUGCAUUUCUUUAAUUAUACAUAAUCCUAGGAAAUAGGGGAAAAAGUUGAAUUUGCUUUCUAUGGAUAAAUCUUUCCCCUGAAAUAUGCCAACUUAAUUUUAUCAUAUCAGGUAAUUUCUCUUAAAUCUGAACUCUGAUAUUAGAAUAUUUAUGAAUGCUUGCAUUAUUUACCUUAAUACUUGAUGUGAGAGGGAGAUGAGUACAAAUACAUACAAGUGUGGAUUGAAGUGAUAAGUAGUAAUCACGUCGCUUAGCAUGCUUAUAUUUCUUCUCUUUUGUGAUUCUGACUACAAAGUUAUAAUGGUAACAGGAAAAGAAAAUAGAAGAAGAAGAUGAAGCCCUCAUUAAAUCGAUUUUCCAGGUUAGAAUCGGUGUAUUGCUUUUAGUAUCACCAGUUGUGAUUGCUCCCUGUUCUAGGCGGGCAUGUUUCUAACAUUGGUGUCAUCUUUAAUGCAGAAGCCAAAGGAAUUUGUUCGAAGGAUUUCAGAUGAUGUUUGCAACGAUGAUGAGGAUCUGACCCGUUUAUUGAGUGGCAAUGGUGAAACCUCAAAUGAUGGCUUAAAGAUCUGACCCGUUUAUUGAUGGCUUAUGAAUUUUUUCCCGGGCCGGGCCUGGGCAAAAUUCUAGGCCCAUAUUUCGGGCCGGGCCCGGGCCCAGGCCUAGGACCCGGGCUGAAUUUUUUUCUGGACCCAGCCCGGCUCGGCCCAUGAACACCUCUAGUCCCGACAGAAUCAAUACGAAGUAACAAAAAAAAGUAGAUCAGAUUUUGCUUUUAUCUUCUUUUUCUUUCUUUUUUUCUCUUCGAGGCUAUGUAUAUAUACAUGUAAAGAUUUUUGUUUUUAUUUUCUCAUUAGUAUAUUCAUUAUUGUCAUUUUAUUGUCGCGUUCAUUCGUAUAUCAUCAUUUUGUACCGUCAUUCAUCAACAUAAUAUUUUAUAUCAUUAAUUUUUAUCCGAACAUAUAAAUAAAAUUUUCAAAAAUAGGCAAGGUUCUGUAUUUGAAAGAUUCAGUAAAAUCGCAUCUUAAUUUACGGGUUUCGAUUUUUCUCGUUGAAUUCAAAUAAUUAAAUAUCCUUUCAAAAAUUAAAAUAUGUAAGAAUCAAAGGCCAAAUUAUUCUCAAGGAUUUGAAAUGUCAUGUCUUAACUUACGGGACGUGUCGUUUUAUAGCCUCGAGAUAAGAAAGUCUUCAAUAUAUUUUCGAGUUAUUUAAGCAUUCCAAAAAAAAAUAUACAUUAAUGUAAAAAACGAUCGUAUUUUAAAUUCUUUCCGAAUUUUUAACUUUCUACAUAAAGACAUCAAAUAAUCAAUUGGGUACCAAUUUUGGGUGUUACGAGGGUGUUAAUCAUUCCAUUGCGUAACCCACUACUGAACCUAUUUUUUGGAUUUCGUAGACCAAAAAAUCGUCGUUUUAGUAAUUUUAAAUUUUUAUUCAAAUGAUUGAAUUACGAGGUGACCCGAUCAUAAAAAUUAUAAAAAAUAAUUUUAUUUUAUAUAAAAUUAGUAAAUAAUUAUUAUUUGAUAUAAUAUAACCUAAACAUUAUUAUUAAUAAAAAUAAAUUAUAAAAUAAUUAAAAACUCUUAAAUAAAAAACAAAUAUAUAAAUCUUAAAAUAAUGUUCUGACUUAAAGAAGAAAAUAUAGCUUUGUAAUCAUAGUUGUCCUAUGGACACUUAGAAUCUAAUGGCAUGACACGUGUAAAGCCAAUUUGCUGUUUGCCAUUUGGUAUCAUGGUUUUCAAAAUUGAAUUAAUAGAAUCGAUUGCCUUGAUUUAACAUAUAUAAAAAAUAUGAUUUUGAAAAGAUUUUUUAAUUGUAAAGGAAAAGAAUCAUAAAAAUAUUCUAAGAUUUUUUUUCAAAAUUGAUUUUUUAAUUUAUAAAAAAAUUAAUCUAAAUAUAGAAAGCUUGUAAAGGAAAAGAAUCACAAACGAAUUUCAAAAGUCAAAAUUUUAAAAGGUUUGAAUAUCUUUAAAUAAUUAAAAAUCAUAAUUUAAAAUAUUAUGAAACAAAUUAAAAAAAUAUUUAAAAUAUUAUAAAACUAAUAAUAAAAGUGAAAGGUCAUAUCUUUAAAAUAUUUAAAUGAUUUAUAUUAUUAAAAAUAUAUUUAAUAUUUAAAAAAUAAUAUUUAAAAUUUUAAAAAAGUGCUUUAUUUUUAUAAUUAGUUAUUUAAUUUUUAUUAAUUAUAAAGUCAGCUUUUGCUUUUAAAUUUACUUAUAAAGACGGUAUUAUAUACCAAAUUUUGGGAUCAACGAAAACAAAAUCAAUUGAGAUAGACAUCUUAGAAAAAUAAAAUAAUAAAUAAUAUAAAUUUAAAGAAAUAGAAAAUUUUAGAGUUCAAAAACUAUAAAAAAAUAAUUUUAUUUGAUAUAAAAUUAGUAAAUAAUUAUUAUUUGAUAUAAUAUAACCUAAACAUUAUUAUUAAUAAUAAAUAAAUUAUAAAAAAAUUAAAAACUCGUAAAUAAAAAAACAAAUAUAUAAAUCAUGGUUUGCAAUCAUUAUUAUUAAUGUUCUGACUUAAAUAAAAAAAUAUAGCUUUGCAAUCAUGGUUGUCUUAUGAACACUUAAAAUCUUAAUGACAUGAUACGUGUAAAGUCAAUUUAUUGUUUGCCAUUUGGUAUAAUGAUUUUUAAAAUUGAAUUAAUAGAAUCGAUUGCUUGAUUUAACAUAUAUAAAAAUAUGAUUUUGAAAAGAUUUUUUAAUUGUCAAGGAAAAGAAUCAUAAAAAUAUUCAAAGAUUUUUUUCAAAAAUGAGUUUUUAAUUUAUAAAAAAAAUUAAUCUAAAUAUAGAAAGCUUGUAAAGGAAAAGAAUCAUAAUAUAAAAUAUUAUGAAACAAAUUAAAAAUAUUAAAAAUAUUAUAAAACUAAUAAUAAAAUAUUUAGAUGUUUUAUAUUAUUAAAAAAAUAUUUAAUAUUUAAAAAAUAAUAUUUAAAAUUGAAAAAAUAAUUUCAAAAAUAUAUAUUUAAAAUUUUAAAAAAUAUAUAUUAUAAAAAAUUUCAAAUAUACAUUUUAAAUUUUUUAAAAUUAAUAAUAAAAAAUAAAAUAAAAAAAUAAUAAUAAAGACAAAACUUAAAAAAAGUAUUAAAAAAAAGGACAAAACUUUAAAAAAAAAAGUAAAAGGGUGUCAGGCGAAUCUGGUGGCGCCAAAUGAAAGGGCUCCACCAGAAAAUAGAAAUUUUAAUUUAAAGUCCUCCAUAUUUUUAGAAAUUGCAGUAUCUUCUUAGUAUUUAUACAAGUGGCGCCAUUCUACAUGGCUCCAUCAAAAAAUUAAUUUUUUUCUUGGUUGCUGACGUGGCAUAUUGGCGGAGCCAAAUUGACUCCACCAACUUUUACGAUAGAUUUUAGGUCAUUUUUGUGUUUAACUAAAAAAAUGGAUUAUUUUGAUAAUUAAUUAAAUUUUUUAGGCUAUUUUUAUAAAAAAAGCCCAAACACUCCUAUACUCAUGUUCAGUUUUAGUUUCAAAAAGGAAUAGGCUUGUUCGAGAAUAUACCAUUGGGUAGUCAGUUUGACCUACGUCAAUGCGAAGUUCCACAUGAUAUCAAUUUAUGUUUGCAGAAGUGGGACUUGCUGUAUUUUUCCCUUUUUUUCACCUCAAUUGUUGAAAAUAGAAUCGCCAUUAUUGAAUCCCUUAACUCAAGCUUUGGUGUGCAUGGUGUGCAGAGGAGAAAGGUGUCAGAAGAACCCUACAGAUGCUUUGACAAAAGCUAGUUUGCCGGAUGAUUCUAGCAGUAAAGGUAUUUGCAGUAUUCAUCACCAAUUCAUUUUUUUCAUAUAUAAAAAAGAACGGUUCAACUAGUCUGCAUUAAUUCUCAAUCUAUUUGGUACAAAACCAUUAUCUGGAACUAUUCAAAUAUCAUUGCAAUUUAUUAAAACAACACAUUACUAAAAUACUUGAGCACCAAGGCUUCACUGUCUCAUCAGUGCUUUCUGUCAAUCUUGCUAUCCUCCUAACGCUUGUUAUCACACCAUCUCUGUUGUUGACUGUAAGUUAAUUACUGAUUUUCAAUCCAAAUAUUUGCAAAAUUUAUCAUAGUAAUAAGUACCCUGAAAAGAUUCAAAGAUCCUUGAAAUAAAAUUUUGGAAAUGAUUGACUGACUAAUGCUUAGAACUUUUUUGAAUUAGUAUAUAUUGAUUUUGUAUUACGAAUAUGAUAAUGAAUGUAUUUGUUCGUUAACAGAAGGUCCAAGUGGUUCAAGGAGUCGUCCAUUCAAGUUACCGGUGAUAAUCUCGAUUGUGAAGAAGAAACCAGAGAAGAAAGAAGAAAAGUUACUAAUGAUACAGAGUAUUGGUCUCCUAUCCUUGUGCCAACUGCCAAGUACCAAUACUCUUUAUAUUUUUUUACCAUGUACCAAACACGCAAGAAUAUUGUCUAAAAUAAAGUAUCACUAUUCAUCAUCACUUUCAUUGUAGUUUUGGCGCCGUGAUAAUCUCGUUGUGAUGAAGAAGAAACCAGAGAAGAAAGAAGAAAAAGUUGAUGAUGAUACAAGCACUGGUCUCCUAUCUUUGUGCCAAAACUACGAUGAAAGUGAUAAUAAGUAGUGGUACUUUAUUCUGGUGAAUAUCCUUGUAUUGUCUUGUUUUAAUGUUUGUAUAGAUUGUUAAAUUGAUGUUUUUUUUAGUUAAAUUUAACCAUUAAUCUUAAAAAAAAAAGUUGAAUCAUCACUUUUAUUAGAAAUGCCAACUAAAAUACUAUUUUUUGAUGAUGUUGACGCGAUAAUUAAUGUGAUAGUUAAUGUAUAUUUCAUAUUGAUACGGUACUAUUUAUUAUAUAUAUACUAUAUUGACAAAUAAUUUACAAAUAAUAAAAAAUCAAGAUUAUAAAAAUUAUGAAGAGCAUAAAAAAAAAAAAGAGCUUGAAGUAAGUGUAGAUUGUCAUGCAAAUUGUUAUGUUUAAAAAUCGUAAUGUUUUAGUCAAUAUUUCUGUUAUAAACAAUAAGUCUGACUUUUUUUUUGAAAAAUUGGUGGUGAAAUGUACCUCUUUCUAAAAUGUUGAGGGCUAAAUUUAGCUAAAAGUAAGUCAUAUUGAUUAAAAAUGUAAAUAUUAAGUGCUAAAUUUAUCAUUAAGCAAAAAUAAAAGGUCAAUUUAUGUAUUAGUUGUUUGCUUACUUUUCAAAUAUUGAAAUUUCAAUCCUAAUUUAAAUAGUAACAAUUAAAUUUACUUGGUUGAGUUUUAUCAUUAAACUUGCAUUACGCGUAAAGUAGUAAAUUUAAUUCAUAUUUUUCAUUUGUAUUUUUAAUUUUUUUACUUUUCAAUUUUUCGAAAAUUUAAUCUUGGUGUAAACAAGAUCUAUUAAAUUUAUUAAUUAUUAUUUUUGAGUAAUAAAUGAAAAUAAUAAGUUGACAUAUCAUUUCAUGUGUAAUAAUACGGAAAUUUUAUAACUCAAAAGAUAUAGCAAUUAAAAUGGACCCAACUAAAGUAUAAAAAUAAAAAUCUAUAAUUUACGGAUAAUAUAAUGACUAAUAGCACAAUUUAAACCAAAUAAAAACAAGUUAAAUACAUCAUGACGAUGUAUCACUGGAUAAGACUCAUAAAAGUUACUGCAUACGACCACAGAGAAUCUUUAAUUCAUUACUGGUCACUGUUCAAACAUUUCUCCGGCAUUUUCGAGAAAGAAUUCAGUCUUAAAAAUGCUAAAGAAGUUCGGAAAUUUCCUACGACUGCGGAGCCUUAUUCAGCGGCAACUCACUCAGCAAGUUACAGCUUCAGUCCUAUACUUCUAACUAAAUAACUUUCCCUCUAAAUCUUUUCCCCUUCAAAGCUUAGAUCCAAGCUGAUGAACACAAUUCAGUUUACUUACAGUUUUGCACUAAAAAAAGUAGUUCCUGACUUAACAAAUAAAAUGCUCUCCAAUUUCUACAAUUAACCUACACUAGUCGUUCACUAUAUAUGCAUAGAAGGGGCGUUCAAGUACAAUCAAUGACAUUCACAAAUCCCACUAAAAACAUCUUACUGUCAUCAAAUUCCUUGAAGAUCAAAUCUUCUAUUUAAGAGAACUUUGAUUCUCGCAUGUAAAGUCUGCACUGAAGUAUCACCGUUGAAGCUGACAAUUAUAAUCGGCACUAACAAGUUUAAAUACAGGGCAGCCAACUUUUUUUUUCUGAUGAUUUUGGAUUAUGACAUGGAAGCUCAAAUCUUCAACUUAGCUAGAUACACAGAUGCGAGCUCCUUUUCCUGCUAAAAUCCAAACACAGUAUUUAUGAUAAACGAAGUUACUAUUUUUAAUUCCAAGGCAAUCCAAUUGGUGAACUCAAUAAGUUUUAGCUCCUAGAAAUUCUACGAGGGAAAAGUACCUUUGUGAAUAGCUUUUCCAAUCAAAUCUGGUGCUGGUCCUCUCCGAUCAUGGCUAAGGCCUUCUAGCUUACUACCCCUUCAGAUAAAGCAAAAUCAUAUAUCUUUACAUGAAGAAAAAAAAUUUACCCUUGGAUUUGAAUUUUAGUUGUUUUAUCACUGACCUAUGUGAAGCAGGUCCAGAUAAAGGCAUAGGUUAAGAAAGAGAAUGGUGGUAAAGUGGCAAGAUGCUGCAAUGAACAACCAUACAAUAUGUUGUCAAGGACAGGUGAUUUGGUAGCCAAGGUUAGUUCCAUAAAGGGUGGCAAUUGUAAGUGCUUCCGUCAGGAGCAAAACAAGAAUGGCUUUCAGGAACAGAACUAAAUUCUGGUCGGAUAUCACAAGAAACCUUACUCACAAUCCUUGAUGCUUCAGACAAGUAGGGAAAACACUUGGGUGAUGUUGCAUGACUGAAGACAACAAGGCAAAAGAAGUGGUCAAAAUGCAUAAACAAUGAUAAUUACCUAGUGAGUUGAUAUAUAAAAAUUUUUCGUAAGCAGUCUUCCUGUUUAGUUGACUUACUAUAAUAGUUGAUGCCUUCUGGAAAAAUGCAGCUUUUACCUGGCCGAUUUGUCAGAAACAUUUUAUGUACAGAAAAACGAAAUCUGUACAAGUAGUCACAGCUGACUUGGACCUUUUCUGUGACUGCAAUCAAACACUGCUCAAUAGUAUCAAGUAGUCACACCAUUCAUGUAUGGUGGAUGAACUUUUCCAAUACCCCAUAUAUGGUGCUGGGCCUCUCUGGUCUUGGCUGGGGCCUUUUAGCUCACUAGCUCAUCUGAUAAAGCAAUAUCAUAAAUCUUUACAUAGAGAAAUAAAAGUUUAAAUCCUCAGAUUAAAAUUUACGUUGGUCAUCACUCAUCACUGGCCUAUCUGAAGCAUGCCUGGAUCUCUCGUAUCGAAGAUUCUUGCAAGAGACUUCCUCUAUGAUCUUAAGUAACACCACUUCUCUGCAGGGAGACACUUUGCCUGCCAAUAUGCAAAAGGCUAGGCUAAGAAAGAGAAUGGUGGUAAAGCAGCAAGAUAUGAUGAACAAGCAUAUGAUAUGUUUGUCAUGGACAACUUACUUGGAGAAACAUGUAACAAGGUUAGUACCAUAACGGGUGGCUAUCCUAAGUGCUUCCAUCAGGAGCUAAACAAUAAUGGGACUCAGGAACAAAGCUAAAUUCCAGUUGGAUCUCAUAAGAACCCUUAUUCAUAAUCCUUGAUGCUUCAGACAAGUAGGAGAUAUAUUUAGCAAAUGUUGCAUGACCAAAGACACUACAAACAAGUUAAAAUAAGUGAUCAAAAUGCAUAAACAAUGAUCAUUACCUAGUGAGUUGAGUUUUGAAAACAUUUCUUAAGCAGUAUUCUUGUUUAAUUGACCUACUAUAAUAGUUGAUGCCUUCUGGAAAACAGAAAGAGAACGGAGGUAAAGCGGAAGAUAGGCUGGCUGCAAUGAACAAGUACGUCAUAUGUUGUCAAGAACUGCUGAUUUGGGUAAAAAUGGAACAUGGAUGGUAGUACCAUAACUUCCAUUGGAAGCAAGCUAAGAAUGGGCUUCCAGAAGACAAGAACGAUGAUGAAUACCUCACAGAUGUGACUAGAGCUUUAUACGUAGUAAUCCUUAAUGCUUCAGAUAAGUUGCUAAACCAAAGACUUCAUAAGCAAGGUAAAACAAGUGGUCAAAACACAAAGAAUGUUAAAUUAUAUAGUUUGUUAAAUUUUGAAAAUAAAUUUUUAAGUAGUCUUCAUCAAAGCAAAAUUAAAAGUUAAUAAAUUGCACAAGUGUCAUCAAUUACAUGGAAAAGUAAUGGUGACCAGGACUUACUUUUCGAUGGAUAAAUUUAGUUUCUACGUUCUCUCUUUGACUGAUGAGUCUUUAAGCUGUACAAGCUAAUUAGUGAAUCCUGCAAAAUUAAGCCAAAAAAUCUGUCAUAUGGAUUAACCAACCAAAUUUGUGAACAAAUAACCUUUUUUUUUGAAAAAAGAAUAAAUAAAUAAGCCAACCAAGUUGAACGGAAAUAUAUUGUCUAAUUGGAGAAAUCCACUAUAUACUUAGAGAACUGCCAAAAUGAUUAUAUAUACAAAGGGACUUCUCAUAUCCAUGAAAUGUUUAUCAAAACAAAAUUAAAAGGUUGUCUACUAAAAUGCAAAGAUAAUCACAGGAAGAAUGAACUGAUGUAAAUUGCAUUGAAAAGAAAUGGGGAUAAAAAAGAGCUUACUUUUCUAUCUCUAUAUUUACAUCCAAGACAAUAAGUCUAUGAAUCCUUCAUAUCCAUACAAAUCCUGUAAAGGUCUGGCGAAAAUGCCGAAAAAAAAUGAAAGUUUAGGAGGAAAAGAACAAGAAGAAUUUAGAGAGAAAUGACAUUCUUUUAUCAAAAGCAAAAAGUACAGGCGUUUUGGUUUCAGAUAUUGAACUUACCGCUUGCUCAUAAUUGAGAUCCUACGAAUGUGGGAAAUCUUGGACCACUCAGGGCCGCUUUCCUUGGAACAUCUUGCCUCUAAUCGAGGACACGCUGAAAUUAUAAAUGAUGUUAAUUUGGAGAGGCUUCGGAUAACAUGUUCAGAAGGCAGAUACAUGAGCUUAUCACAUGAAACAAUUCUCAAACGCUUUACAGAGGAGAGGUUUCCCAACCAAUCAGGCAAGGCUUCUAUGCCGUGAAACCUCUGUAUCUCUAGUCCUUCAAGGGCAGUGAGGUGUCGGAGUUGGUAAGGAAGAGAACUUAGCUUUUCCCAUCCAAGCAAUCGCAACUCUUUAAGGGAGGCACUGAGGUGUUGGAUGGAAUCAAAACCUGGGAAUUCUUCUAGCUCUUCUGAGAAACCACCAAUAUCUAAACUUCUCAAGCAAGUAAGGCUGCCAAGGCGGUCAUUUGGAAUGCUCCUCAAUGUUGGACACCUUUUGGUUGUUAAACGAACAAGAGAAUGCAAUUCCCACACACUUUCUGGAAUCGAUCUUAGAUCAGGCAAAUCAGCUAGUGUCAGCUUGCGAAGGCAAGUGUUGGAUUGCAGCAAAUCUGGUAAUAGACAAGUUAAGCCUUGGCCUACACCAGUGAAACCUAAUUCAGUGAGACGACCAUGACAUAUACUUGGAAUGGACCUCAAAUUCGGGCAAGUCUCUAUCCUCAAUUUUUUGAGACAAGUGAAGUUAGACAGUCCAUUUCCUAUGUAGCUUAAUUUUUCACAUGCAAGAAUGUCAAGAACUUCAAGAGAUGAGCACCUUUCUGUUAUUGGAACAAUUUCCAGUUUGUUGCACCCAGAUAUACAUAAACUCUGAAGAGACGAAAAUCCUUUCAAAUCUGGAAUGGAACUUAAAUUAGGGCAAAGCCUUAUCCUCAAUUCUUUGACAAAAGAGGAAAUAGAAAACCCGUCUCCUACCUUGCUUAGUUUUUCACACUGAAAAAUGUGAAGCUUUUCAAGAAAAGGAAGUCUUCCUGUUGGAAUAACUUCCAGGUUGUCACAUUUAGAUAUAUCUAAAGUUCGAAGAGAUUCCAAAUCUGGAAUGGAAUUUAAGUUACCACAAUGGGAUAGCUUUAACUCUUUGAGACAAGUGGCAAUAGGCAACCAAUCUUCUAUCUUGCUUUGACACCCGGAAAUGAGAAGCUUUUCAAGAGAUGAACAUUGUCCUCUUAUCGGAACAAUUUCCAGUUCGUUGCAGUUUGAUAAAUCUAAAAUUUUAAGAGAGGAAAAUCCUUCCAAAUCUAGAAUGGAACAUAAAUUAGGACAAUCGCUUAACUUUAAUUCUUUAAGAUAAGUGGAGGUAGACAACCCAUCUCCUAUCUUGCUUAAGUUUUGACACGAGGAAAUGUGAAACUUUUGAAGAGAUGAACAUCUUCCUCUUAUUGGAACAAUUUCCAGUUUGCUGCACUCUGAUAUAUCUAGAUUUCGAAGAACGGAAAAUCCUUCCAAAUCUGGAAUGGAACUUAAUUUAGCACAGCCACUUAGCUUUAAUUCUAUAAGAUAAGCGGAAGUCGACAACCAGUCUCCUAUCUUGCUUAAGUUUUGACACGAGGAAAUGUGAAGCUUUUGAAGAGAUGAACAUCUUCCUCUUAUUGGAACAAUUUCCAGUUUGCUACACUCUGAUAUAUCUAGAUUUCGAAGAACGGAAAAUCCUUCCAAAUCUGGAAUGGAACUUAAAUUAGCACAGCCACUUAGCUUUAAUUCUAUAAGAUAAGUGGAAGUCGACAACCAGUCUCCUAUCUUGCUAAAGUUUUGACACGAGGAAAUGUGAAGCUUUUGAAGAGAUGAACAUCUUCCCCUUAUUGGAACAAUUUCCAGUUUGUUGCACUCUGAUAUAUCUAGAUUUCGAAGAAAGGAAAAUCCUUCCAAAUCUGGAAUGGAACUUAAAUUAGCACAGCCACUUAGCUUUAAUUCUUUAAGACAACUGGAGGUAGACAACCCAUCUCCUAUCUUGCUUAAGUUUUGACACGAGGAAAUGUGAAGCUUUUCAAGAGAUGAACAUCUUCCUCUUAUUGGAACAAUUUCCAGUUUGCUGCACUCUGAUAUAUCUAGAUUUCGAAGAAAGGAAAAUCCUUCCAAAUCUGGAAUGGAGCUUAAAUUAGCACAGCCACUUAGCUUUAAUUCUUUAAGACAAGUGGAGGUAGACAACCCGCCUCCUAUCUCGCUUAAUUCCUUACACUCUGAAAUGCAAAAUUCUUCAAGAGAUGAACAUAUUCCUGCUAUUGGAACAAUUCCCAAGCGUCCGCAAUCAGAAACAUAGACACUUCGAAGAGCGGAAAACCCAUUUAAAUUUGGAAUUGAGAACAAAUCUCCACACUUUACUAUAGUUAGCUCCUCAAGUACCGUGGAAGUAGCUAGUCCAUCCCCUAUACUGCUUAAUCGUGAACAAUCCUCAAUACAGAGCUUUUUAAGAGAUAAACAUUGUCCCGUCAGGGGAACACUUUCCAAUAAGGGGCAGUUAGAAACAAGCAACUCUUCUAAGCAAGGAAACAUGACUGCUGCUGUCGUUGCUGUCCAUUCUUUCAGAUUUUCCAGUCGCCGUAGGAUGAAUGUUUUUAAUGCAGGAAACACCUCAAUCUCAAAUUGACUACUUCCAUCGCAAUAAAACUCAUUACCGAUGCGUUUCAGCUCCUCCAUAUUCCUCAGUGCAAGAAACUUGAGACUGUGCAGUUGGCCCAAUGGUGGAAGACUUUUACAAUUGAUGCAAUUGUUUAAUUCCAACGCCAUCAAAUUGUCAAGAAGCAGUGAACCAAUAUUAGAACCAUGAACAGGUCUUGACAUCCAAGAUGGGAGCUUUUCUCCUCCAUAAUUCCAAACAAUUAAGCUUUGCAAACCUGAGGGGGGUUGGAGACCUUCCAGCACUUCCUCACAGUUAUCAUUGCUAAAAUUUGACCAUUCAAAUAUUACCUUGCACAAUUUUGUUUUAAGCCGUAGAUUUGCUUUGCGGGCCUCUUCCUUGUCUCUAACACUCUGCAGAUCGCAUAUCUUCAAUUGUCCACCAAGUUCGUUGAGGCAUUCUAGAGCAUCAAGAUGAAGUUCGUUACCCCUAACAAAAAACAUUGGCAAUGUUUGGAGAGAAAUUAGGUGUCGAAGCUCAAUUGGUUGAGAACUUUGCUGGUCAAAAUGGAUGUGCUUCACGCUUAUCAAAUUUCUCAAUCCAUCUGGAAAUGCGAUUUCCCUACAACCCAUGAACCUUAAUGUUUGUAACAUGUAAAGUUUGGUUAUGGAUUGAGGCAGCACUUUGAUAGAAGUCUUCGAGAUGUCCAUAUACCUCAAGUGCUUCAAUUCGCCGAGGGAAGCAGGCAACUCAUGAAUAUAAUCAGCACUGGAAAAUUUUAGGACUCGUAAGCUUGUGAAGGUUCUUGACAAUUUCUUGAACACAUCAAUCUCUGAGAACAAAGAGUGCAAUUUUGGAGCAACAGCUGUUAAAAUUAUUGGUAAGGAUUCCCCAUCAUAACCAAUACUGAGAUGCCGAAUAUGAGAAACCUCAUCUGUGCUGGAACUGGAAUUUUCUUGGAAAAUCAAAGUCUCAAACUUUGAGACAGACAAAGCCAGAUCAUGCACCAAGUCAUGCAUCUUGCAAGUCAAAAUAUUUCCGCACCUGUCCUUCCCCACAUCUUGGAAUAAGGAAUUUGAUAACAAUUCAUGGAAAUAUCUGUUACCAGUAUCCAUAAUUUCUUUAGAAGCGCCAAGAAAUCCUUCAGCCAUCCAGAGCUGGAUUAAUUGCUCCUUUCUAAAGCAAAAAUCUUUAGGAAACAUGGCGCAGUAUGCAAAACACUUCUUUAAACAUGGAGAAGACAAGUGAUCGAAACUUAACCUUAGCACACUAUUAACCGAAUCCCAUACAUCACUUUUUUGAAUUUUCAACCAUGCAGCCCGACUCCUUUCAAUUUUGCGCAUUGUACCUCCAAUAACUUUUGCUGCUAAAGGCACACCGUGACAUUGUUUAGCAAUUUCCUCGCCAAUUAACACUAAGCUGGGAGAUAUUGGGGAGUCUCCACAUGCUUUUUCUUUAAUUAUGGACCAGCACUCCUCAUCUUUUAAUUUUCCAGGCUGAUGCCUUUGAUUAGGAAGUGUUUCCACUUUUAAUGCCACAUCUUCAAUGCGGGUUGUUACAAUAACUUUAUUCCCCCGAUUCUUAUUAACCCCUUCCAAACACCACAUUAGUUCAUCCCAUUGUUCAACAUUCCACACAUCAUCAAGUACAAGAAGAUAUUUGAUCUGUUCAUUUCCCCUUUUGGCCCGCUCAAUCUUCCCCUUCAGUUUCGCCGUUAAAGCAUUCAAGUUUUGAGGUAUCGAGGUCUGCUGAUAAUUCAUAUCAUGCUCAAGCAUUUCUCCCAAAAUUCUUUUGACAUUGAAAUCAUCCGAAACACACACCCAAAAUCUUACAUCAAAACGCCUUUCCACAUCCACAUCAUGGUAAACUAGCCUUGCUAAAGUAGUUUUCCCGAUACCCGCCAUUCCAACUAUAGGCACAACAGAGACAGUUCGAUCAUCUUGGGGACUGAGUAACAUGUCAACAACUUUUGAGACAUCAUUUUUCCUUCCAACAAUGUUUGAGUCAUCUAGGAAGGAGACUGUCUCCACAUUUGAUGGAAUAAAAAUUCUUUGAUCUAUGGCUAAUUGUUGGAGACCAUAGUCUUUGGCUAUUUUGUUAAGGUCGUCCAAGGAAUUAAGGAUGUCCUUAACUUUAUUAGCCAUGUUGUGCUGAAAUGUGACAGUAGAUGGAGUGUCUCGAAGCUUUCUCCACAUCUGAUCCCCAAUCUCCACUUUCCUUCUGAGAAACUCAUAAGCAAUCUCAUCCAGGACCUCAUCAGCCUCAUAAGCAACAUCUCUGAGCCUCUUCAACCAAAGCUUCACUGAGUUCAUUUGCUUUUGGUUUCCCUCUGCAUCUCGCAAGAAAGCUCCAAUCAUUUCUAGUGAGUUACCAAGCCUCUGCAUCUCAUCCUUGAAGCCCCAUCCAAGGCUUAUCAUCUCAACCGCAACUGACGCCGCUUUUGACGCCACUUCUCCCACAACAGCACUAACGAAAGCUUCAGCCAUCUUCGCUUCAAAAAUAAAAAGCUUGAAAUGUUAGGGAAAGCUCUUAACUCUAUAUCAAAGAGGCGAAGAACAUUUGUAAAUGAAAACGAAAUUAAAGCAACAGAUAAUUGAAAUUGGUGAAAGAUCAUACCGGGUUAAGGAAACGGAAUGCAGAAGAGAACUGAAGAUGAAUUGCUUUUGGUAAUUUCAAACUGAAAGGUCCCCUCUUUGAUGAAAAAAAGCAAAAACAAAUCAAUAAGCUUAGCACCCAAAGUCAAAAGUAAAGCAAAAUAAAGCCAUCAGCUGCCCCUUCUGACGAGAAUUACGAAAUACACGGCGUGAUUAGGUGACCGACAUGCUUCUAUUAUUGCUCGGCUUUUUACCCAAUUAAUAUAAAAUAAUGGAUCAAUUUAUUCAAAUAACUAUUUGAUACAUUUACUCGACCAACCAGCGGCACCUCCUCCACUUUUCCCUAUUAUUAAUCAUGUUUGGUUAGCAAACACAUCCUAUACUCAUGAUCAAAACUUUUUUUUAGUGCGUAAUGUUUUAAGUAAAUUAUCUACAUUUAAUGCAAUUUUUAUUUAACUUACCCAAUCGAUUACCGACUGUUAGUAAUAGUUUCAUGUAGUAUUGAAGAUAGAACAAGAUUUUCUAAGGUGGGUAAAGGGUUAACAAUAUUGCAUAGACGAAGAGGGUUAAGUGUCAGACUUGUUUAAUGUUUUACUAUAUGUGAAGGUUCAAGAUCCAAAAUACGAUGUUUAUUUUAAGUUGUUGAAAUCAGCAAUUAUAAGAACAAUUGAGAGUCGAUUUAAUAUGGAGGAAACCAUAUGGAGGAAAUCAAGCUGUCCGAAUGAAUUAUUAUCUCAUGAAAAGAUGGAUGUGCUUGAACUUUCAGUUUUAGUUUUAAAAUGGAAUAGGCUUGUUCGAGAAUAUACCAUUGGGUAGUCAGUUUGACCUGCAUCAAUGCGAAGUUCCACAUGAUAUCAAUUUAUGUUUGUAGAAGUGGGACUUGCUGUAUUUUUCCUUUUUUUCACCUCAAUUGUUGAAAAUAAAAUCGCCAUUAUUGAAUCCCUCAACUCAUGCUUUGGUGUAACCCUACAGAUGUUUUGGCAAAAGCUAGUUUGCCUGAUGAUUCCAACAGUAAAGGUAUUUACAGUAUUCAUCACCAAUUCAUUUUUUUCGUAUAUCCGCAUUAAUUCUCAAUCUAAUUGAUUCAAAGACUUCAAAGCCAUUAUCUGGAACUAUUCAAAUAUCAUUGCAUUUUAUUUAAAACAACACCUUACUAAAAUACGUGAGCACCAAGGCUUCACUGUCUCAUCAGUGCUUUCUGUCAAUCUUGCUAUCCACCUAACGCUUGUUAUCACACCAUCUCUGUUGUUGGCUGUAAGUGAAUUAUUGAUUUUCAAUCCAAAUAUUUGCAAAAUCUAUCAUAAUAUGUAUCUGAAAAGAUUCAAAGAUUGAAAUAAAAUUUUGGAAAUGACUGAUUGACUAAUGUUUAUAAUUUUUUUGAAUUAAUAUAUAUUGAUUUUGUAUUGCGAAUAUGAUAAUGAACGUAUUUGUUCGUUAACAGAAGGUCCAAGUGGUUCGGGGAGUCGUCCAUUCAAGUUAUCGGUGAUAAUCUCAAUUGUGAAGAAGAAACGAGAGAAGAACGAAGAAAAAGUUGAUGAUGAUACAAGCACUGGUCUCCUAUCUUUGUGCCAAAACUACGACAAACGAGAUGAUAAGUAGUGGUACUUUAUUUUGGUGAAUAUCCUUGUAUUGUCUUGUUUUAAUGUUUGUAUAGAUUGUUAAUUUGAUUUUUUUAGUUAAAUUUAACUAUUAAUCUUUUAAAAAGAGUUGAAUCAUCACUUUUAUUAGAAAUAUUAACUAAAAUACUAUUUUUUGAUGAUGUUGACGUGACAAUUAGUGUGAUAGUCAAUGUAUAUUUCAUAUUGAUACGGCACUAUUUAUUUUAUAUAUAUUAUAUUGACAAAUAAUUUAAAAAUAAUAAAAAAUCAAGAUUAUAAAAAUUAUGAAGAGCAUUAAAAAAAAAAGAGAGAGAGCUAGAAUAGAUUGCCAUGCAAAUUGUUAUGUUUAAAAAUUGUAAUGUUUUAGUCAGUAUUUCUACUAUAAACAAUAAGUUGACUCUUUUUUGAAAAAUUGGUGGUGAAAUAUACCUCUUUCUAAAAGGUUAAGGGUUAAAUUUAGCUAAAAAAAGUAAUAGUCAUAUUAAUAAAAAAUGUAAAUAUUUGUUAAAUUAAUCAUUAAGCAAAAAUAAAAGGUCAAUUUAUCUAUUAGUUGUUUGGUUACUUUUCAAAUAUUGAAAUUUCAAUCUUAAUUUAAAUAGUAACAGUUAAAUUUACUUGGUUGAGUUUUAUCAUUAAUGCGUAAAGUUGUCAAUUUAAUUCAUAUUUUUCAUUUGGAUAUUUUACUUUUCAAUUUUUUGAAAAUUUAAUCUUGGUGUAAACAAGAUCUAUUAAAUUUAUUAAUUAUUUUUUGAGUAAUAAAUGAAAAUAAUAAGUUGACAUAUCAUUUCAUGUGUAUUACAUAAAUUUUACAACUAAAAAGAUAUAGGAAAAAAAAUGGACCCAACUAUAGUAUAAAAAUAAAAUCUAUAAUUUACGGAUAAUAUAAGGACUAAUAGUACAAUUUAAACUAAUAAAAACAGUUUAAACACAUCAUGGCGGUGUAUCACAGGAUAAGACUUAUAAAAGUUCCUGCAUACGACCGCAGAGAAUCUUUAAUUCAUUAUUGGUCACUGUUUAAACAUUUCUCCAGCAUUUUCGAGAAAGAAUUCAGUCUUAAAAGUGCUAAAGAAGUUCGGAAAUUUCCUACGACUACGGAACCUUAUUCAGAGGCAACUCACUCAGCAAAUUACAGCUUCAGUCCUAUACUUCUAACUAAAUAACUUUCCCUCUAAAUCAUUUCCCCUUCAAAGCUUAGAUCCAAGCUGAUGAACACAAUUCAGUUUACUUACAGUUUUGCACUAAAAAAGUAGUUCCUGACUUAACAAAUAAAAUGCUCUUCAAUUUCUACAAUUAACCUACACAAGUCGUUCACUAUAUAUGCAUAAAAGGGGCGUUCAAGUACAAUCAAUGACAUUCACUAAUCCCACUAAAAACAUCUUCCUGUCAUCAAAUUCCUUGAAGAUCAAAUCUUCUAUUUAAGAGAACUUUGAUUGUAUUGAAACAAUCUUUACUUGGCUUGAUUCUCGCAUGUAAAGUCUGCACUGACGUACCACCGUUGAAGCUGACAAUUAUAAUCGGCACUAACAAGCUCUCUUUGAUAUAAAUACAGGGCAGCCAACUUUUUUUUUCUGAUGAUUUUGGAUUAUGACAUGGAAGCUCAAAUCUUCAACUUAGCUAGAUACAUAGAUGCGAGCUCAUUUUCCUGCUAAAAUCCAAGCACAGUAUUUAUGAUAAACUAAGUUACUAUUUUUAAUUCCAAGGCAAUCCAAUUGGUGAACUCAAUAAGUUCUAGCUCCUAGAAAUUCUACGAGGGAAAAGUACCUUUGUGAAUAGCUUUUCUAAUCAAAUCUGGUGCUGGUCCUCUUCGAUCAUGGCUAAGGCCUUCUAGCUUACUACCCCUUCAGAUGAAGCAAAAUCAUAUAUCUUUACAUGAACAAAAAAAAUUUUACCCUUGGAUUUGAAUUUUAGUUGUUUUAUCACUGACCUAUGUGAAGCAUGUCAGGAUAAAGGCAUGGGUUAAGAAAGAGAAUGGUGGUAAAGUGGCAAGAUGCUGCAACGAACAAGCAUACAAUAUGUUGUCAAGGACAGGUGAUUUGGUAGCCAAGGUUAGUUCCAUAAAGGGGUGGCAAUUGUAAGUGCUUCCGUCAGGAGCAAAACAAGAAUGGCUUUCAGGAACAGAACUAAAUUCUGGUCGGAUAUCACGAGAAACCUUAUUCACAAUUCUUGAUGCUUCAGACAAGUAGGAAAAACACUUGGGUGAUGUUGCAUGACUGAAGACAACAAGGCAAAAGAAGUGGUCAAAAUGCAUAAACAACGAUAAUUACCUAGUGAGUUGAUAUUUGAAAAUUUUUCGUAAUCAGUCUUCCUGUUUAGUUGACUUACUAUAAUAGUUGAUGCCUUCUGGAAAAAUGCAGCUUUUGCCUAGCUGAUUUGUCAGAAACAUUUUAUGUACAGCAAAACGAAAUCUGUACAAGUAGUCACAGCUGACUUGGACCUUUUCUGCGACUGCAAUCAAACACAGCUCAAUAGCAUCAAGUAGUCACACCAUUCAUGUAUGGUGUAUGAGCUUUUCCAAUACCCCAUGUAUGGUGCUGGGCCCCUCUGGUCUUGGCUGAGGCCUUUUAGCUCACUAGCUCAUCUAAUAAAGCAAAAUCAUAAAUCUUUACGUAGAGAAAAAAAGUUUAAUCCUCAGAUUAAAAUUUAAGUUGGUCAUCACUCAUCACUGACCUAUCUGAAGCAUGCCUGGAUCUCUCGUAUCGAAGAUUCUUGCAAGAGACUUCCUCUAUGAUCUUAAGUAACACCACUUCUCUGCAGGGAGACACUUUGCCUGCCAAUAUGCAAAAGGCUAGGCUAAGAAAGAGAAUGGUGGUAAAGCAGCAAGAUAUGAUGAACAAGCAUAUGAUAUGUUUGUCAAGGACAACUGACUUGGAGAAACAUGUAACAAGCUUAGUACCAUAACGGGUGGCUAUCCUAAGUGCUUCCAUCAGAAGCUAAACAAUAAUGAGACUCAGAAACAAAGCUAAAUUCCAGUCGGAUGUCAUGAGAACCCUUAUUCAUAAUCCUUGAUGCUUCAGACAAGUAGGAGAUAUAUUUAGCAAAUGUUGCAUGACCAAAGACAAUACAAACAAGUUAAAAUAAGUGAUCAAAAUGCAUAAACAAUGAUAAUUACCUAGUGAGUUGAGUUUUGAAAACAUUUCUUAAGCAGUAUUCUUGUUUUGUUGACCUACUAUAAUAGUUGACGCCUUCUGGAAAACAGAAAAAGAACGGAGGUAAAGCAGCAAGAUAGGCUGGCUGCAAUGAACAAGUACGUGAUAUGUUGUAAAGAACUGCUGAUUUGGGUAAAAAUGGAACAAGGAUGGUAGUACCAUAACUUCCAUUGGAAGCAAACUAAGAAUGGGCUUCAAGAAGACAAGAACGUUAAUGAAUACCUCACAGAUGUGAUAGAGCUUUAUAUGUAGUAAUCCUUAAUGCUUCAGAUAAGUUGCCAAACCAAAGACUUCAUAAGCAAGGUAAAACAAGUGGUCAAAACACAAAGAAUGUUCAAUUAUAUUGUUUGUUAAAAUUUGAAAUAAAUUUUUAAGUAGUCUUCAUCCAAGAAAAACUAAAAGUUAAUAAAUUGAAGCAGUGUCAUCAAUUACAUGGAAAAGAAAUUGUGACCAGGACUUACUUUUCGAUGGAUAAAUUUAGUUUCUACGUUCUCUCUAUGACUGAUGAGUCUUUGAGCUGUACAAGCUAAUUAGUGAAUCCUGCAAAAUAAAGCCAAAAAAUCUGACAUAUGGAUUAAUCAACCAAAUUUGUGAACAAAUAACCUUUCAUUUUUUAAAAAGAAUAAAUAAAAAAUCCUACCAAGUUGAAGGGAAAUAUCUUGUCUAAAUGGAGAAAUCGACCAAAAACUUGAAAGAAUUGCCAAAAUGACUAUAUAUACAAAGGGACUUCUCAUAUCCAUGAAAUGUUUAUCCAAGCAAAAUUAAAAGUUUGUCUACUAAAAUGCAAAGAUAAUCACAGGAAGAAUGAACUGAUGUAAAUUGCAUUGAAAAGAAAUGGGGAUAAAAAAAGAACUUACUUUUCUAUCUAUAUAUUUACUUCUGAGACAAUAAGUCUAUGAAUCAUUCAUAUCCAUCCAAAUCCUGUAAUGGUCUGGCGAAAAAGCCCCAAAAAAAUGGAAGUUUAGUUUGAAACUAGACAAAAGAGUUUAGGAGGAAAAGAACAAGGAGAAUAAUUAUAAGAAGAAUUUAGAGAAAAUGACAUUCUUUUAUCAAAAGCAAAAAGCACAGGUGUUUUGGUUUCAGAUAUUGAACUUACCGCUUGCACAUAAUUGAGAUUCUACAAAUGUGGGAAAUCUUGGACCACUCAGGACCGCUUUCCUUGGAACAUCUUGCCUCUAAUCGAGGACACUCUGAAAUUAUAAAUGUUGUUAAUUUGGAGAGGCUUCGCAUAACACGUUCAGAAGGCAGAUACAUGAGCUUAUCACAUGAAACGAUUCUCAGACACUUUAAAUAGGAGAGGUUUCCCAACCAAUCAGGCAAGGCUUCUAUGCCGUGAAACCUCUGUAUCUCCAGUUCUUCAAGGGCAGUGAGGCGUAGGAGUUGGUAAGGAAGAGAACGUAGCUUUUCCCAUCCAAGCAAACGCAAUUCUUGAAGUCUGAGAUGUUGGAUGGAAUCCAUACCUGGGAAUUCUUCUAGCUCUUCUGAGAAACCACCAAUAUCUAACCUUCUCAAGAAAUCAAGGCGGCCAAGGAGGUCAAUUGGAAUGCUCCUCAAUGUUGGACACCUUUUGAUUGUUAAAUGACGAAGAAAAUCCAUGUCCCCCAGACUUUCUGGAAUCGAUCUUAGAUCAGGCAAAUCAGAUAGUGUCAGACUCUGAAGAUAACGGUUGGGUUGCAGCAAAUCUGGUAACAGACGAGUUAAGCCUUCGCCUACUCCAGUGAAGUCUAAUUCCGUGAGAUAAGCAUUAUGUAUUCUUGGAAUGGGCCCCAAAUUCGGGCAGUUCACUAUCCUCAAUUUUCUGAGACGAGUGAAGGUAAGCAGUGCAUCUCCCAUUUGGCUUAAUUUUUUACAUGCAAUAAUUUCAAGCACUUGGAGAGUUGAGUUCCUUCCUGUUAUUCGAACAAUUUCCAGAUUGUUGCAGUCUGAUAUAUUUAAAAUAUGAAGAGAGGAAAAUCCUAUUAAAUCUGGAAUGGAAUUUAAGUUACCACAAUGGGAUAGCUUUAACUUUUUGAGGUAAGUGGCGGUAGACAGCCCGUUUCCUAUCUUGCUUAAUUUAGGACACCAAGAAAUGAGAAACUUUUCAAGAGAUAAACAUCUUCCUCUUAUAGGAAUAGUUUUCAGUUCGUGGCAGUUUGAUAUAUCUAAAAUUCGGAGAGAGGAAAUUCCUUCUAAAUCUGGAAUGAAAUUUAAAUUAGCACAACCAAUUGGCUUUACUUUUUCAAGACUAGUGGAGGUAGACAACCGGUCUCCUAUCUUGCUUAAUUUUGGACAUGAGAAAUUGUAAAGCUUUUCAAGAGAUGAACAUCUUCCUCUUACCGGAAUAGUUUCCAGUUCGUGGCAGUCUGAUAUAUUUAAAAUUCGGAGAGAGGAAAAUCCUAUCAAAUCUGGAAUGGAAUUUAAAUUAGCACAAUCAUUUAGCUUUAAUUCUUCAAGACUAGUGGAGGUAGACAACCCAUCUCCUAUCUUGCUUAAUUUUGGACACGAGGAAACGUGAAGCUUUUCAAGAGAUGAACAUCUUCCUCUAAUUGGAACAAUUUCCAAUUCGUGGCAGCCUGAUAUAUCUAAAAUUCGGAGAGAGGAAAUUUCUUCCAAAUCUGGAAUGGAACUUAAAUUAGCACAACCACUUAACUUUAAUUCUUCAAGAAUAGUGGAGGUAGACAUCCUGUCUCCUAUCUUGCUUAAUUUUGGACACGAGGAAACGUGAAGCUUUUCAAGAGAUGAACAUCUUCCUCUUAUCAGAACAGUUUCCAAUUCGUGGCAGUCUGAUAUAUCUAAAAUUUGGAGAGAGGAAAAUCCUUCCAAAUCUGGAAUGGAACUUAAAUUAGAACAACCGCUUAGCUUUAAUUCUUCAAGAAUAGUGGAGGUAGACAACCCGUCUCCUAUCUUGCUUAAUUUUGGACACGAGGAAACGUGAAGCUUUUCAAGAGAUGAACAUCUUCCUUCUAUCGGAACAGUUUCCAGCUCGUGGCAGUCUAAUAUAUCUAAAAUUCGGAGAGAGGAAAAUCCUUCCAAAUCUGGAAUGGAACUGAAAUUAGAACAACCACUUAGCUUUAAUUCUUCAAGACUAGUGGAGGUAGACAACCCAUCUCCAAUCUUGC
rnacentral:lncRNA from 1 species